rnacentral:rRNA from 1 species
CGGCAGCACAGGAGAGCUUGCUCUCUGGGUGGCGAGUGGCGGACGGGUGAGGAAUACAUCGGAAUCUACUUUUUCGUGGGGGAUAACGUAGGGAAACAACGCUAAUACCGCAUACGACCUACGGGUGAAAGCAGGGGACCUUCGGGCCUUGCGCGAUUGAAUGAGCCGAUGUCGGAUUAGCUAGUUGGCGGGGUAAAGGCCCACCAAGGCGACGAUCCGUAGCUGGUCUGAGAGGAUGAUCAGCCACACUGGAACUGAGACACGGUCCAGACUCCUACGGGAGGCAGCAGUGGGGAAUAUUGGACAAUGGGCGCAAGCCUGAUCCAGCCAUACCGCGUGGGUGAAGAAGGCCUUCGGGUUGUAAAGCCCUUUUGUUGGGAAAGAAAUCCAGCCGGCUAAUACCUGGUUGGGAUGACGGUACCCAAAGAAUAAGCACCGGCUAACUUCGUGCCAGCAGCCGCGGUAAUACGAAGGGUGCAAGCGUUACUCGGAAUUACUGGGCGUAAAGCGUGCGUAGGUGGUUGUUUAAGUCUGUUGUGAAAGCCCUGGGCUCAACCUGGGAACUGCAGU